ACGCGUAUAGAACCUACCUUUUACAGAGGAAUAGCCUUUAGAAAUGAAGAUUAAUGCCUCAUGGUAUUGUAGACUGGCAUCAGUUUAUAAUUAAAGAUUUAUCGGUAAAAGAUGGCUAUGCGUCCUAUUAGUUAGUUGGUAAGGUAACGGCUUACCAAGACAGCGAUAGGUAGGGGUCCUGAGAGGGAGAUCCCCCACACUGGUACUGAGACACGGACCAGACUCCUACGGGAGGCAGCAGUGAGGAAUAUUGGACAAUGGAGGAGACUCUGAUCCAGCCAUGCCGCGUGUAGGAAGAAUGCCCUAUGGGUUGUAAACUACUUUUAUACAGGAAGAAACACUGGUAUGUAUACCAG
rnacentral:rRNA from 1 species